rnacentral:rRNA from 1 species
GACGAACGCUGGCGGCGUGCUUAACACAUGCAAGUCGAACGAAGUGGCGAACGGGUGAGUAAUACGUGGUUACCCUGCCCUCCUUUUUGGUAUAAGCCUUGGUAACGGGUUCUAAUACCGCAUAAAGGGGGAUGGGCUCGCGGCCUAUCAGCUUGUUGGUGGGGUGAUGGCCUACCAAUGCCGUGACGGGUAGCCGGCCUGAGCGGGUGACCGGGGACUGUGGGACGGCGAUAAGGCCUAGACUACUACGGGGGGCAGCAGUGGGCAAUAUUGCAGAAUGGGCGAAGGACUGAUGCAGCGACGACGCAGGAGGGAUGAAGGCUGUAGGGUUGUAAAACUCUUGCGCUAUCGAACGGGUAGGUGGAGAAGAAGCGCCGGCUAACUCCGUGCCAGCAGCCGCGGUAAUAC